rnacentral:rRNA from 1 species
GACGAACGCUGGCGGCGUGCUUAACACAUGCAAGUCGAACGAUGAAGCCGGAGCUUGCUCUGGUGAAUUAGUGGCGAACGGGUGAGUAACACGUGAGUAACCUGCCCUUGACUCUGGGAUAACUGCGGGAAACUGUAGCUAAUACCGGAUACGACCCUCGGAGGCAUCUCCUGGGGGUGGAAAGAAUUUCGGUCAAGGAUGGACUCGCGGCCUAUCAGCUAGUUGGGGAGGUAAAGGCUCACCAAGGCGACGACGGGUAGCCGGCCUGAGAGGGUGACCGGCCACACUGGGACUGAGACACGGCCCAGACUCCUACGGGAGGCAGCAGUGGGGAAUAUCGCACAAUGGGCGCAAGCCUGAUGCAGCAACGCCGCGUGAGGGAUGACGGCCUUCGGGUUGUAAACCUCUUUUAGCAGGGAAGAAGCGAAAGUGACGGUACCUGCAGAAAAAGCACCGGCUAACUACGUGCCAGCCGCCGCAGUAA